rnacentral:rRNA from 1 species
AACGUAGGGGACAAGCGUUAUCCGGAAUUACUGGGCGUAAAGGGCUCGUAGGCGGCCAACUAAGUCAGACGUGAAAUCCCUCGGCUUAACCGGGGAACUGCAUCUGAUACUGGAUGGCUUGAGUUCGGGAGAGGGAUGCGGAAUUCCAGGUGUAGCGGUGAAAUGCGUAGAUAUCUGGAGGAACACCGGUGGCGAAGGCGGCAUCCUGGACCGACACUGACGCUGAGGAGCGAAAGCCAGGGGAGCAAACGGG